CAGCUGAUUUUUGUUUUGAUUCUCGAGCGAAGUUGACGUGUUUGGCCGUUCAAAAAAUUCUUAAUCGGAAUUCCAAAGAAACGGCAGCAAGGAAAGGGAGUGAGGAUAAGUAGACUUUGGGCAUCAAUUCUAAAUGUGUAAAGCGUUAUCGAUGUGUAUGAAUAGUGUUACGACAUCCAAAAUGAAGCGGAUUUUUGGUAGACUCUCAUGCGUGAUGGAGAAGGUUGGCAGAGGAAGAAUUAAUAGUGUUUAUGAUCAGUAUUCUUCAGCGCCAAUGCUUCGUCCUGCAUCCUCUCGUGAGGACGUAGGACAUUCUGUUCUUGCGCGGCGGAAUUUCUUUAGUUAUAUGUCAAAAGACCAGUUGCAAACUCGACUGCAAAUUCGUCACUAUUCUUCCAACUCGUCACAGGAGAAUUGCAGAACCCUGUACCACGGGAGGGUUCCAGAGUACUUGCACUUCCACCAGGAGACCAGUGUAGAAACCCAAGAUGCUGUCUCGUCAUCCUUUGUAGUUCUGAGAGACUUUGUUACAGAAGAAGAGGAAGAAACACUCCUAAGAGAGGUUGAACCCCAUCUGAAGAGACUCCAUUAUGAACACGACCACUGGGAUGAUGCAAUACAUGGUUUUCGAGAAACAGAGAGGUCCAAGUGGGGGAAAGCCUCGUCAAAGAUCCUGGCCAGGUUGCAAGAAUAUGCUUUUCCUAACCAAGGGGAAAAGUUGGCUCUGAUGCACAUCCUCGACCUAGCCAAGACUGGAGUAAUUAAGCCUCACGUCGACAGCAUCAGGUUCUGUGGCAACACCAUCUGUGGCCUAUGUUUGCUCAGUGAUGCAGUUAUGAGAUUAGUGAAUGUGGAAGACAAGACGCAAGUAGUAGACAUCAUGCUCUGGCGGCGGUCGCUUUAUCUCAUGAAGGAUGCAGCUCGAUACAACUACACUCACGAGGUCCUGGGAGAGAAGGAGUCCUAUUUUGGUUCAGUGCCAGUGCCAAGGGAAAGGAGGAUCUCCAUUAUGUGCCGUAACUAUCCAAGGAAGGAGGAUGCAACUUGAUAAGCGAAAAGCACAGCUCUCACACCUUAGGAAUGGGAUAGAAGGGGAUGAAGAAGAUACGGAAGAGGAAAGGGGAAAAGAAAAGACCAAGCAAAAUUAGAUGAGGUGAGGGCUGAUUUCUGAGAUUCGACCACAUCAGAGUGGUGACUUUGUGAUCCAGUCAACAUGUAUAGCAGAGAUGUAGGUGUUAAUUUGAAAAAGAAAAGUAUGUUCACCU